rnacentral:rRNA from 1 species
AGUGAACGCUGGCGGUAGGCCUAACACAUGCAAGUCGAACGGCAGCACAGUAAGAGCUUGCUCUUACGGGUGGCGAGUGGCGGACGGGUGAGGAAUGCAUCGGAAUCUACUUUUUCGUGGGGGAUAACGUAGGGAAACUUACGCUAAUACCGCAUACGACCUACGGGUGAAAGCAGGGGAUCUUCGGACCUUGCGCGAUUGAAUGAGCCGAUGUCGGAUUAGCUAGUUGGCGGGGUAAAGGCCCACCAAGGCGACGAUCCGUAGCUGGUCUGAGAGGAUGAUCAGCCACACUGGAACUGAGACACGGUCCAGACUCCUACGGGAGGCAGCAGUGGGGAAUAUUCGACAAUGGGCGCAAGCCUGAUCCAGCCAUACCGCGUGGGUGAAGAAGGCCUUCGGGUUGUAAAGCCCUUUUGUUGGGAAAGAAAAGCAGCAGGUUAAUACCCCGCUGUUCUGACGGUACCCAAAGAAUAAGCACCGGCUAACUUCGUG